rnacentral:rRNA from 1 species
AUUGAACGCUGGCGGCAGGCCUAACACAUGCAAGUCGAGCGGAUGAAGGGAGCUUGCUCCUGGAUUCAGCGGCGGACGGGUGAGUAAUGCCUAGGAAUCUGCCUGGUAGUGGGGGAUAACGUCCGGAAACGGGCGCUAAUACCGCAUACGUCCUGAGGGAGAAAGUGGGGGAUCUUCGGACCUCACGCUAUCAGAUGAGCCUAGGUCGGAUUAGCUAGUUGGUGGGGUAAAGGCUUACCAAGGCGACGAUCCGUAACUGGUCUGAGAGGAUGAUCAGUCACACUGGAACUGAGACACGGUCCAGACUCCUACGGGAGGCAGCAGUGGGGAAUAUUGGACAAUGGGCGAAAGCCUGAUCCAGCCAUGCCGCGUGUGUGAAGAAGGUCUUCGGAUUGUAAAGCACUUUAAGUUGGGAGGAAGGGCAGUAAGUUAAUACCUUGCUGUCUUGACGUUACCAACAGAAUAAGCACCGGCUAACUUCGUG